UUGCAAGUGGAAAUGUCUGCUCCUCAUUUCUUUGGGAACAAGAAUAUGUCAAUAACAUGCUACAUUAAAAAAGGAGUUGUCAGGGCUGCCAACCUCACAGUAGAGGUUGAGUGGUAGUAUAUUUCUCUUAUACAA